rnacentral:rRNA from 1 species
UACGAAGGGUGCAAGCGUUACUCGGAAUUACGGGGCGUAAAGCGUGCGUAGGUGGUUUGUUAAGUCUGAUGUGAAAGCCCUGGGCUCAACCUGGGAAUGGCAUUGGAUACUGGCGAGCUAGAGUGCGGUAGAGGGUAGUGGAAUUCCCGGUGUAGCAGUGAAAUGCGUAGAGAUCGGGAGGAACAUCUGUGGCGAAGGCGACUACCUGGACCAGCACUGACACUGAGGCACGAAAGCGUGGGGAGCAAACAGG